CCUACGGGUGGCAGCAGUGGGGAAUAUUGGACAAUGGGCGAAAGCCUGAUCCAGCCAUGCCGCGUGUGUGAAGAAGGCCUUCGGGUUGUAAAGCACUUUCAGUGGGGAAGAAAGCCUUGGGGCUAAUACCCUCGAGGAAGGACAUCACCCACAGAAGAAGCACCGGCUAACUCCGUGCCAGCAGCCGCGGUAAUACGGAGGGUGCGAGCGUUAAUCGGAAUUACUGGGCGUAAAGCGCGCGUAGGCGGUCUGAUAAGCCGGUUGUGAAAGCCCCGGGCUCAACCUGGGAACGGCAUCCGGAACUGUCAGGCUAGAGUGAAGGAGAGGAAGGUAGAAUUCCCGGUGUAGCAGUGAAAUGCGUAGAGAUCGGGAGGAAUACCAGUGGCGAAGGCGGCCUUCUGGACUGACACUGACGCUGAGGUGCGAAAGCGUGGGUAGCAAACAGGAUUAGAUACCCCAGUAGUC
rnacentral:rRNA from 1 species